rnacentral:rRNA from 1 species
GAUGAACGCUGGCGGCGUGCCUAAUACAUGCAAGUCGAGCGAACAGACGAGGAGCUUGCUCCUCUGACGUUAGCGGCGGACGGGUGAGUAACACGUGGAUAACCUACCUAUAAGACUGGGAUAACUUCGGGAAACCGGAGCUAAUACCGGAUAAUAUAUUGAACCGCAUGGUUCAAUAGUGAAAGACGGUUUUGCUGUCACUUAUAGAUGGAUCCGCGCCGCAUUAGAUAGUUGGUAAGGUAAAGGCUUACCAAGGCAACGAUGCGUAGCCGACCUGAGAGAGUGAUAGGCCACACUGGAACUGAGACACGGUCCAGACUCCUACGGGAGGCCGCAGUAGGGAACCUUCCGCAAUGGGCGAAAGCCUGACGGAGCAACGCCGCGUGAGUUAUGAAGGUCUUCGGAUCGUAAAACUCUGUUAUUAGGGAAGAACAAAUGUGUAAGUAACUAUGCACGUCUUGACGGUACCUAAUCAGAAAGCCACGGCUAACUACGUG